rnacentral:rRNA from 1 species
GUAAGGAAUAUUGGACAAUGGUCGCAAGACUGAUCCAGCCAUGCCGCGUGCAGGAUGAACGAUCUAUGAUCUGUAAACUGCUUUUGUUCGGGAAUAAACCCCUUCACGUGUGGAGGGCUGAAUGUACCGAAAGAAUAAGGGUCGGCUAACUUCGUGCCAGCAGCCGCGGUAAGACGAAGGACCCAAGCGUUAUCCGGAUUUAUUGGGUUUAAAGGGUGCGUAGGCGGGUUGUUAAGUCAGUGGUGAAAGCCUAGAGCUUAACUCUAGAAUUGCCAUUGAUACUGACGAUCUUGAGGAUAGUUGAGGUGGGCGGAAUGUAUCAUGUAGCGGUGAAAUGCUUAGAGAUGAUACAGAACACCGAUUGCGAAGGCAGCUCACUAAGCUAUUUCUGACGCUGAGGCACGAAAGCGUGGGGAUCAAACAGGAUUAGAUACCCCUGUAGUCC